UCGAGGAUGCAUCUCCUCCUCUGGAGGAUGUGGCUCCUCCUCUCGAGGAUGUGGCACCUCCUCUCGAGGAUGGUGCUCCUCCUCUCAAUCGGCUCUGCUCCAUGAGGAGGGUGACUGCAUCUGUCACAUGUCCGAGCUGCGUGAUAAUAGACGUGGUGGCUCUGCUAUGUGUAGUGGAGAGCUCUGUCACCGACGCCUGAAGCCCAGUCACCGAUGUCUGUA
rnacentral:lncRNA from 1 species